CCUACGGGUGGCAGCAGUGGGGAAUAUUGCACAAUGGGCGAAAGCCUGAUGCAGCAACGCCGCGUGAGCGAUGAAGGCCUUCUGGUCGUAAAGCUCUGUUCUCAAGGAAGAUAAUGACGGUACUUGUGGAGGAAGCCCCGGCAAACUACGUGCCAGCAGCCGGGGUAAUACGCAGGGGGCUAGCGUUAUCCGGAAUUACUGGGCGUAAGGGGUGCGUAGGUGGUUUCUUAAGUCAGAGGUGAAAGGCUACGGCUCAACCGUAGUAAGCCUUUGAAACUGGGGAACUUGAGUGCAGGAGAGGAGAGUGGAAUUCCUAGUGUAGCGGUGAAAUGCGUAGAUAUUAGGAGGAACACCAGUUGCGAAGGCGGCUCUCUGGACUGUAACUGACACUGAGGCACGAAAGCGUGGGGAGCAAACAGGAUUAGAUACCCCUGUAGUC
rnacentral:rRNA from 1 species